rnacentral:rRNA from 1 species
CCUACGGGCGGCAGCAGUGAGGAAUAUUGGUCAAUGGUCGGGAGACUGAACCAGCCAAGCCGCGUGAGGGAUGAAGGUACAGAGUAUCGUAAACCUCUUUUGUCAGGGAACAAAGGCGGGGACGUGUCCCCGGAUGAGUGUACCUGAAGAAAAAGCAUCGGCUAACUCCGUGCCAGCAGCCGCGGUAAUACGGAGGAUGCGAGCGUUAUCCGGAUUUAUUGGGUUUAAAGGGUGCACAGGCGGUCUGUUAAGUCCGCGGUAAAAGCCCGGGGCUCAACCCCGGCCCGCCGUUGAAACUGGCAGUCUCGAGUUGGAGAGAAGUAUGCGGAAUGCGCGGUGUAGCGGUGAAAUGCAUAGAUAUCGCGCAGAACUCCGAUUGCGAAGGCAGCAUGCCGGCUCCACACUGACGCUGAGGCACGAAAGCGUGGGUAUCGAACAGGAUUAGAUACCCCAGUAGUC